GACGAACGCUGGCGGCGUGCUUAACACAUGCAAGUCGAACGGUCCUUGAAGUUUUCGGAUUUCAAGGAUAGUGGCGGACGGGUGAGUAACGCGUGGAUAACCUGCCCAUGGGAUUGGGAUAACGCCGGGAAACUGGUGCUAAUACCGGAUACGUUCCUUUGGCCGCAUGGCCGGAGGAAGAAAGGAGUAAUCCGCCCAUGGAUGGAUCCGCGUCCCAUUAGCUUGUUGGUGGGGUAAUGGCCUACCAAGGCGACGAUGGGUAGCCGGCCUGAGAGGGUGGCCGGCCACACUGGGACUGAGACACGGCCCAGACUCCUACGGGAGGCAGCAGUGGGGAAUCUUCCGCAAUGGGCGAAAGCCUGACGGAGCAACGCCGCGUGAGUGAUGAAGGCCUUUGGGUCGUAAAACUCUGUCUUCAGGGAAGAAAAAAUAGACGGUACCUGAGGAGGAAGCCCCGGCUAACUACGUG
rnacentral:rRNA from 1 species